GUGGGGAAUAUUGGACAAUGGGCGAAAGCCUGAUCCAGCCAUGCCGCGUGUGUGAAGAAGGUCUUCGGAUUGUAAAGCACUUUAAGUUGGGAGGAAGGGUAGUAACCUAAUACGUUGCUACUUUGACGUUACCGACAGAAUAAGCACCGGCUAACUUCGUGCCAGCAGCCGCGGUAAUACGAAGGGUGCAAGCGUUAAUCGGAAUUACUGGGCGUAAAGCGCGCGUAGGUGGUUUUGUAAGUUGAAGGUGAAAUCCCCGGGCUCAACCUGGGAACUGCCUCCAAAACUGCAUGACUAGAGUACGGUAGAGGGUAGUGGAAUUUCCUGUGUAGCAGUGAAAUGCGUAGAUAUAGGAAGGAACACCAGUGGCGAAGGCGACUACCUGGACUGAUACUGACACUGAGGUGCGAAAGCGUGGGGAGCAAACAGGAUUAGAAACCCCUGUAUCC
rnacentral:rRNA from 1 species